rnacentral:rRNA from 1 species
AUUGAACGCUGGCGGCAUGCCUUACACAUGCAAGUCGAACGGCAACACGGGUGCUUGCACCUGGUGGCGAGUGGCGAACGGGUGAGUAAUACAUCGGAACAUGUCCUGUAGUGGGGGAUAGCCCGGCGAAAGCCGGAUUAAUACCGCAUACGAUCUACGGAUGAAAGCGGGGGACCUUCGGGCCUCGCGCUAUAGGGUUGGCCGAUGGCUGAUUAGCUAGUUGGUGGGGUAAAGGCCUACCAAGGCGACGAUCAGUAGCUGGUCUGAGAGGACGACCAGCCACACUGGGACUGAGACACGGCCCAGACUCCUACGGGAGGCAGCAGUGGGGAAUUUUGGACAAUGGGCGAAAGCCUGAUCCAGCAAUGCCGCGUGUGUGAAGAAGGCCUUCGGGUUGUAAAGCACUUUUGUCCGGAAAGAAAUCCUUGGCCCUAAUACGGUCGGGGGAUGACGGUACCGGAAGAAUAAGCACCGGCUAACUACGUG